CCUAGAUAGAGUGAUUGGGACUUCCAGAAACAUCCAGUGUGGAAUAGUUUCCCUCCACCGUGAGGCUAGAACAUGGACACAAGAUGGGGAAACUGAGGCUGAGGCUGGUCAAGUAACUUGAUGAAGAACCGGUACUUACAUUGUAUCUUCCUGAGCUUAUCAAAAUGUGGAUUAUUAUUGCACCCAAUGUAGUCUGAGUCUGGCCAUGUAAGCAAUCUCAAGACACGGGCACCAUCAUUACCGUUUUAUAGAUGGGAGAAUGGGAGCUCAGAGAAUCAAAGCUUGUACCCGGGUCUGCCUGAUGACUUCCUGUGGUCUUAAUUCCCUCACGUGGCUGCCUGUUGAAAGAGCCAAAUGCAGUCAUGGUUCCAUAGG